rnacentral:rRNA from 1 species
UACGAGAGGUGCAAGCGUUAUUCGGAAUCAUUGGGCGUAAAGGGUGCGUAGGCGGCAAUACAAGUCUGUUGUUAAAGACCCUGGCUUAACCAGGGAAGUGCAAUGGAAACUGUAAUGCUAGAGGGUGAGAGAGAGAAGUGGAAUUCCAGGAGUUAGCGGUCAAAUGCAUAGAUCUCUGGAGGAACACCGAUGGCGAAGGCAGCUUCUUGGCUCAUUCCUGACGUUGAUGCACGAAAGCGUGGGGA